rnacentral:rRNA from 1 species
UACGAAGGAUGCAAGCGUUAUCCGGAUUCAUUGGGUUUAAAGGGAGCGUAGGUGGCCUUAUAAGUCAGUGGUGAAAUCUCUCGGCUUAACCGAGAAAUUGCCAUUGAUACUGUAGGGCUUGAGUAUAGUUGCCGUUGGCGGAAUAUGACAUGUAGUGGUGAAAUACAUAGAGAUGUCAUAGAACACCGAUUGCGAAGGCAGCUGACGAAACUAUAACUGACGCUGAGGCUCGAAAGCAUGGGGAGCAAACAGG